CCUACGGGAGGCAGCAGUGAGGAAUAUUGGUCAAUGGGCGAGAGCCUGAACCAGCCAAGUCGCGUGAGGGAAGACGGUCCUAUGGAUUGUAAACCUCUUUUGUCGGGGAGCAAAACGGCCUCGUGAGGCCACAAGUGAUAGUACCCGAAGACAAAGCCUCGGCUAACUCCGUGCCAGCAGCCGCGGUAAUACGGAGGAUCCGAGCGUUCUCCGGAUUUAUUGGGUUUAAAGGGAGCGUAGGUGGAUUGUUAAGUCAGUUGUGAAAGUUUGUGGCUCAACCGUAAAAUUGCAGUUGAAACUGGCAGUCUGGAGUACAGUAGAGGUGGGCGGAAUUCGUGGUGUAGCGGUGAAAUGCUUAGAUAUCACGAAGAACUCCGAUUGCGAAGGCAGUUCACUGGACUGCAACUGACACUGAGGCUCGAAAGUGUGGGUAUCAAACAGGAUUAGAUACCCGUGUAGUC
rnacentral:rRNA from 1 species